GACAUCUGGGUGGAAGUCACCAGUGCCUGCACAUGGAACUAUGAAGAUCACCAUUUUUCAGAUUAAGAAACUGAGGCUCACAUUGUGAAAUAACACUCUCUGGAAAGCUGACUCAGAAAUUGGAAUGAGUUGUCUGUGGAUCCUGUAAGGAGCCUGGACAUGGUGAAGAGAAUGCCUUGACCAUCAGGAGACAGCUUAGCUUGUUGAAUCUUGAUCACUUCUUCUGACCGCUUUGGAUCUUAAAAGAACAAGGUCGAGGAGUUUCGCAGACAUAACUCCUUGGGAGCAGUGCCCAGGUCAAGAAAGAAAAUGUGGCCAAUGCCCCAGGAUCUUAUUUGGUCAUCCAGGCUGGACUGCAGUGGUGUGAUCAUAGCUCACUGCAGCCUCAAACUGCUGGACUCCAGUGAUCUUCCAGCCUCAGCCUCCCCCGGUAGCAAGGACUACAGGGUCCCAGAAGGAACCAACGCUGCCCACACCUUAAUUUGAGACUUCUGGCCUCUGAGAAAUGAGAAAGAGUCUCACUCUCUGUCGCCCAGCCUGGAGUGCAGUGGCAUCAUCUGAGCUCACUACAACCUCCGCCUCCCGGGUUCAAGCGAUUCUCCUGCCUCAGCCUCCUGAGUAGCUGGGACUACAGGCACGCGCCACCACGCCCAGCUAAUUUUCGUAUUUUUAAUAGACAUGGGGUUUCACCAUGUUGGCCAGGCUGCUCUUGAACUGCUAACCUCAAGUGAUCCACCAGCGUUGGCCUCUCAAAGUACUAGGAUUACAGUGCUAGGAGCCACCAUGCCCGGCCGCCUCUCUUUUCUUUUACACAUGAAGAAAAAGUGGUCAGAGAAGUUAACUUGGUCAGUGCCAAAAGCACUGGAAGUGAGUAGGACCAAGCUUUUCAUCUAGAUUUGUUUGUUAGACUCUAAAUCCAAAUUCACAACAAGAUCAGAAUAUGAGAAACCUAAGGAACAAAAUUCUAGGAAUCAUUUCUAGAAACUGUGGCUAUUGAAAAAGCACAGACCUAGGGAAUCAAAUUAUUUUCCCUGCCACCAGCACAUGGGUAGGCCUGUGACAAAUUCCAUGCUCUGGACCCCAGAUUCCUCAGUGAGAAUAGAAGGGGCUAGAGACAUCAGGGAAUUGGAUUUGGUGACUUUAAUACCCACUCAGCUCCAAAGCAUUCUUGAAUGAUGCACGAUUUAUGAAUAUAUAUAUUGAAAUUUACUGAUGGGUGAACAGCUCUCAACAUGAGAUUUUUGUUGUAUGCCUUAAAAAAGAUUAUACAUAAAUAUGCGUGUGUGUGUGUAUGUAUGUUUCGAUGUAUAUGAACCCAUGAUCUGAAAAAUGGCCACUGUGGCUUGUGGAAACCUAUUAAUCUCUGCUGUUCCACCCAACAUCCUCAGAGAAAAAAAUAAACAACUUUUUGAAAGUGCUGCCAUGGGGUCAGACCAAAUACUGUGGCCACUUCCAAGGGGUUUGCCUUGA
rnacentral:lncRNA from 10 species